UUGGCGAUAUAUAUUCUUGCAUUAUGCCUUCCUUCAAUUAUAAUUGCUUAUCUUUAUAUUUAUUUAUUUAUUUUUGUUUGGUUCAAGUCUCUCCUUCCAAAGAUUUUUGGUUCAAAGAGAACUGGGAGAGGCUCAGACGAUGAUGCUUUCACCAAGCCACACACAAGGAAGGAGAUCAAAAGGAGUUACUCUUGAUUUGGAGAAGAAGAUUGAAUCCAGAAGAAAAGCUUUAAUGGAAGUGUCUCUCUUCAUGAGAAAAAAGCUUCUCAGGGCCUUUGGGUUGGUCUUAACCUUGCAUUAGCCAUUGCUCUGCACAAUAUUCAAAGGGUAUUGCUAUUGCACUUCCUAUUUAUUUUGCAACAAAGGUAAUAAGUUCUGGAUCUUUUUCUCUUGUUGGUUAAAUCUAUAAUUUAUGAUGUAGACUUUCAUAUCAAAUAUCACACAUAUAGCAACAACCAUUAAUUUGUGGAUGCAUGGUUCUUGAUUAGUAAAUGGUAGGCAUUGAAAUUGGCAUCAUUUUGUGGGUUUGCGUACUGAGCCCUAGGAGCCAUAAUUAUAGGUACAUACACCAUCCAAAACAUUCUAUAUAUACAUAAAUAAUUCAAAGAUUAUAUAGAGUAUGAUGAUGAUGAUGACUUUCCCUUGUUACAUAACAAUUUAGCAUGUCUGUUCACUAGAAGCUUAAAUCCAGAGAUUCUUGAAGGUUUACUUGGAGCAGGUUAGCCCUUGCAACUUGAUUGGUUUGUGUGCAAUUAGCAAUAUGAUAUGUUAUGUUAUGUUAUGUUGAUAAUAAUUAUUGUUGAUUGCAUUAAACAUAAUACCCAGUUGGUGGAGUAAUGGCAUUUCUAACACUUCAUGAAAUGUUGCCAUUGGCUUUUGAUUAUGUUGGACAAAAAUGUGCAAAGUGGUAUUAGUUUUGAGAUUCAAGAUAACACGGUAUUAGUUUCUGUUCUUUUUUAUCUACUUAUCUUGUAGAGAUUAGGUUGUAAUCUGUAAUUCUGAUUUACCACACUGUUGGUGUAGUAUUAAGUUAUGGUUGUAUAUACUUGUGUAGUUAUGGUUGAUUUCUGUGCUUAGUAA